AACGAACGCUGGCGGCAUGCCUAACACAUGCAAGUCGAACGAGACCUUCGGGUCUAGUGGCGCACGGGUGCGUAACGCGUGGGAACCUGCCCUUAGGUUCGGAAUAACUCCCCGAAAGGGGUGCUAAUACCGGAUAAUGUCUUCGGACCAAAGAUUUAUCGCCUUUGGAUGGGCCCGCGUUGGAUUAGCUAGUUGGUAGGGUAAAAGCCUACCAAGGCGACGAUCCAUAGCUGGUCUGAGAGGAUGAUCAGCCACACUGGGACUGAGACACGGCCCAGACUACUACGGGAGGCAGCAGUGGGGAAUAUUGGACAAUGGGCGAAAGCCUGAUCCAGCAAUGCCGCGUGAGUGAUGAAGGCCUUAGGGUUGUAAAGCUCUUUUACCCGGGAUGAUAAUGACAGUACCGGGAGAAUAAGCUCCGGCUAACUACGUG
rnacentral:rRNA from 1 species